UGGGGAAUUUUGGGCAAUGGGCGAAAGCCUGAUCCAGCAAUGCCGCGUGUGUGAAGAAGGCCUUCGGGUUGUAAAGCACUUUUGUCCGGAAAGAAAUGGCUCUGGUUAAUACCUGGGGUCGAUGACGGUACCGGAAGAAUAAGGACCGGCUAACUACGUGCCAGCAGCCGCGGUAAUACGUAGGGUCCAAGCGUUAAUCGGAAUUACUGGGCGUAAAGCGUGCGCAGGCGGUUGUGCAAGACCGAUGUGAAAUCCCCGAGCUUAACUUGGGAAUUGCAUUGGUGACUGCACGGCUAGAGUGUGUCAGAGGGGGGUAGAAUUCCACGUGUAGCAGUGAAAUGCGUAGAGAUGUGGAGGAAUACCGAUGGCGAAGGCAGCCCCCUGGGAUAACACUGACGCUCAUGCACGAAAGCGUGGGGAGCAAACAGGAUUAGAUACCCUGGUAGUCCACGCCCUAAACGAUGUCAACUAGUUGUUGGGGAUUCAUUUCCUUAGUAACGUAGCUAACGCGUGAAGUUGACCGCCUGGGGAGUACGGUCGCAAGAUU
rnacentral:rRNA from 1 species